rnacentral:rRNA from 1 species
AAUGAACGCUUGCGAUGGGCCUAACACAUGCAAGUCGAACGUGUGUGGAUUUUGUUUUCUUUCAGAAAACAAAAACACACAAGUGGCAAACGGGUGAGUAAAGCGCGAGAACUUACCUGUCAGUCCGACUCAAGGCUUCUUUUGCUUUUUGUUUCUUCUUUUUUGUAAAAAAAGAAGAAACAAAAAGCAAAAGGCUGAAUAGCGGAUAGUUUUUUAACUUUCUCUUGUAGUUUCUUUUUUUACAAACCAGAAAAUGUAAGAGAAAGUCACAAAGAAAUAAAAAAGUUUUUGCUGACAGAUGGGCUCGGGUGGGAUCAGGUAGUUGGUGAGGUAAAAGCUACACCAAGCCAAUGACCCCUAGCUGGUCUGAAAGGACGAUCAGCCACACCGGGACUGAGACACGGCCCGGA